GACGAACGCUGGCGGCGUGCCUAAUACAUGCAAGUCGAGCGGACGAUUCGAAAGCUUGCUUUUGAAUCGUUAGCGGCGGACGGGUGAGUAACACGUGGGCAACCUGCCCUGUAGACGGGGAUAACACCGAGAAAUCGGUGCUAAUACCGGAUAACACGAAAUGUCGCAUGACGUUUCGUUGAAAGGCGGCGCAAGCUGCCGCUACAGGAUGGGCCCGCGGCGCAUUAGCUAGUUGGUGAGGUAACGGCUCACCAAGGCGACGAUGCGUAGCCGACCUGAGAGGGUGAUCGGCCACACUGGGACUGAGACACGGCCCAGACUCCUACGGGAGGCAGCAGUAGGGAAUCUUCCGCAAAGGACGAAAGUCUGACGGAGCAACGCCGCGUGAGCGAAGAAGGCCUUCGGGUCGUAAAGCUCUGUUGUUAGGGAAGAACAAGUAACGUAGUAACUGACGUUACUAUGACCGUACCUAACGAGAAAGCCACGGCUAACUACGUG
rnacentral:rRNA from 1 species